CCUACGGCGUGCAGCAGUGGGGAAUAUUGGACAAUGGGCGAAAGCCUGAUCCAGCCAUGCCGCGUGUGUGAAGAAGGCCUUCGGGUUGUAAAGCACUUUCAGUGGGGAAGAAAGCCUUGGGGCUAAUACCCUCGAGGAAGGACAUCACCCACAGAAGAAGCACCGGCUAACUCCGUGCCAGCAGCCGCGGUAAUACGGAGGGUGCGAGCGUUAAUCGGAAUUACUGGGCGUAAAGCGCGCGUAGGCGGUCUGAUAAGCCGGUUGUGAAAGCCCCGGGCUCAACCUGGGAACGGCAUCCGGAACUGUCAGGCUAGAGUGCAGGAGAGGAAGGUAGAAUUCCCGGUGUAGCGGUGAAAUGCGUAGAGAUCGGGAGGAAUACCAGUGGCGAAGGCGGCCUUCUGGACUGACACUGACGCUGAGGUGCGAAAGCGUGGGUAGCAAACAGGAUUAAUACCCUGGUAGUC
rnacentral:rRNA from 1 species